GACGAACCGUGCGAACGUUAUUCGGAAUCACUGGGCUUAAAGCGCGUGUAGGCGGGAGGGCACGUCUGUCGCUGAAAUCCCCCGGCUUAACCGGGGAACGGGCGGGGAUACGACCUUCCUGGAGGAACGUAGGGGGACCUGGAACUUCCGGUGGAGCGGUGAAAUGCGUUGAGAUCGGAAGGAACGCCCGUGGCGAAAGCGAGGUCCUGGACGUUUUCUGACGCUGAGACGCGAAAGCCAGGGGAGCGAACGGG
rnacentral:rRNA from 1 species